rnacentral:rRNA from 1 species
CCUACGGGUGGCAGCAGUGAGGAAUAUUGGUCAAUGGGAGGAAUCCUGAACCAGCCAUGCCGCGUGCAGGACGACGGCCCUACGAGUUGUAAACUGCUUUUGUACCGGGGUAAAAUGCUCUACGAGUAGGGUUUUGAAAGUACGGUACGAAUAAGGAUCGGCUAACCUCGCGCCAGCAGCCGCGGUAAUACGGAGGAUCCGAGCGUUAUCCGGAUUCAUUGGGUUUAAAGGGUGCGUAGGUUGUUUUGUAAGUUAGCGGUGAAAUACCGAUGCUCAACAUCGGGGCUGCCGCUGAUACUGUAAGACUAGAGUUCGGAUGAGGCAGGCGGAAUGUGUAGUGUAGCGGUGAAAUGCGUAGAUAU